rnacentral:lncRNA from 1 species
CGUUAAUGAGGAAUUUACAACUGUUUUACAUGACCUCAACCUACAACAUUUGACAACCAAUCAUCGCAGCUCUGCUUCGAAGUGUUGAGCACAGCUGAACCCGACAGAUCUGACGAAGAACCGGGUUACAUCUCUAGACGGAUCCUCUCAAAAUUACAACUAAAUCGUUACAUCGCAAUUCCUCAGCCAUCAACAGCACAACAAGAAGGCAACAACCAACACAAGAUCGGGACAAAGAAUAUGGGGGAGGGGAAUAUAACUGCGGGAACGCGAGAGGCGCAUCAGAGGAAACCGAGGAGGACGGCGGCGCCGAGCACGAAGAGCCAGACGAUGUGGACGAGCAGCAGCGCCUGGCCCGAGACGGGCGCGGAGCCGGAGCCGGCGCCGACCUCGCAGUAGCCGCGUCGCGCCACGCGGGCGCCCGCGCAGGUCGCCUCGGGGCAGCCGCACCAGUACGUGACCCCGUCGGCGCCGCAGACCGGGUCAGGGCGGAAGCACCGCACGGGGCACAGCGGAACGUCAGCUUCCCCGUCAGCUACGGCGGCCGCGCAGGGGUCGCCGGACUCCGUCGACGCCGACGCGGCGGCGGGCACGGGGGCAGAGGAGGCUAGGGUUUGGGCGAGGAGGAGCGAGAGCGUCGCGAGGAGGAUGAGG